UGGUUUUCCUUGAUCUUUCGGGAGACUUCUCCUUCUACGAUUUUUGCAAUUGUCUUCUCUUCUUUUGGAAGAGCGUCUUUCUGGCAUUUGGAUAUCCAAUCAAUUAUGCCAUUGUUAGUCCGUUGAGUGAAAUAUCUGGCGGUGUUUAAAAAUUAUCCCGUUUGGAUAAUAUUCAGAUCUAUAAACUGCCUUGGAUUUACUAUUUACAAAACGCUAGCUCUUUCAAUUUUGUGUUGCUUUUCCCAACUAUUGACAACUAUUAGUGAGAACGAUAAGGGCUCAUCGGCCAGGUUUCACAACGUUAUUGGCCCUUGGUUUAAGGGAAAAAAAUUUUGGGUCGGGGUUCGAUUUUUGCUCGAACAUUUUUUGCUAUCUCUCUUCUUCCACCGAAAGACUUAUUCUCUCUCGACACUUAUCAAAAGAGAAAAUCGAAAACUCCUACCGCCGGAAUCGAGACUGCCCUUGAUCUCCGAUCGAUUAGCAAGCCAUGCCGAUCAGCUACAGCGAGUCCUCAUCUGAGGAUGAAGCAAUGGCCAACAUGGGCUGGACGUACGCGGAUGCUAAUUACGGCAUUCCGGCAAGAUGCUUCUGUGGUUUAGGUAUUAAGCUUGUAGUUUGUACAUGCGGACUGAAUUGUGGACGAAAGUACUACCGUUGUUCCGCCUGGUUACACGAGGGAGUGAAGAACAUAUUUUCAAAUGGUGAGAUGAGACUGUGACAGAGCAGUUCAAGAGAAUGGCGAUAAGGAUUCAAAAGCAAAAGGAGAGGGUUCAGGGUUUGACAGACUUGGCCUUAAGGGUUGACCGAUUCUCCGAUCCCAGCAUUGCAGAAGUUAAGGAGAAGCUCUGAGUGCUGCAUGGAGAAGUUUCAAGAUUGAAGCAGGACUUUCGUAAUGAAGGCGUAAGAAGAACAUGUUCUUCAAUCUUCAAGGUUUGAUUACUCAAUGGAACUAGGCGAACAAGGUCCUUCAAGCUAUGCGAACCAGAUCCUUCAAGCUUUGAAACAAGACAAGUGAAAGGCAUUGAGAAGAACGGCGAGAGGUUGUGGAGGAAGAAAAGAAGGGAUCAUGUGGCAUGCCAGUAGAAAUUUUAAUACCAUGGUUAGAGACACUCAACUACAUGAUAUAAGUGGUGAAGAUCAAGAAAGGAAAGAAGAGAAGGGGGUGCCGAUGACUGAAUGAGAAGGUCUACUCUUCGCUGAUUUCAAAACUAAAGCCUUCAUCUUUUGCGUCCUUCGACUUCUCCCUUAUUUCAAUUUCAUAUUUCGUUUGGGGUUUCAGUCAAUUUUGAGAAGCAUGAUAUAAACCACUCUCCAUCCUCUCCCCAGCCUGGUUAGGACCCAAUCAAGGGAUUUUUUUUUUUAAAAAAAAAUCUUACAAAAAGAAAGAGGAUAUUUAAAGUUAAUAAGUAUGUCACAAAUAUUCUAUUUAUGGCUAAUAUAUGAAGUCAUGGCUGAAGGUCUGAACAUCUAACUCUCCAACUUCUGAAUUUUAGUUCAUAAAAAGUGAUCGUAAUGUACAUAUUUAAUGGAAUAUCAU